GAAUUGUUCGCAAUGGGCGCAAGCCUGACGACGCAACGCCGCGUGGAGGAUGAAGAUCUUCGGGUCGUAAACUCCUUUCGAUCGAGACGAAUGGCCCCUGGGCUAAUCACCAGGGGAGUGACGGUACCGCGAGAAGAAGCCCCGGCUAACUCCGUGCCCGCAGCCGCGGUAAUACGGGGGGGGCAAGCGUUGUUCGGAAUUACUGGGCGUAAAGGGCUCGUAGGCGGCCAACUAAGUCAGACGUGAAAUCCCCCGGCUUAACCGGGGAACUGCGUCUGAUACUGGAUGGCUUGAGUGCGGGAGAGGGAUGCGGAAAUCCAGGUGUAGCGGUGAAAUGCGUAGAUAUCUGGAGGAACACCGGUGGCGCAGGCGGCAUCCUGGACCGACACUGACGCUGAUGAGCGAAAGCCAGGGGAGCAAACGGG
rnacentral:rRNA from 1 species